GCCAGGGUAGCUCAGCCUGGAAGAGCACUCGGCUGAAGACCGGGCUGUCGCUUGUUCAAAUCAUGCCCCUGGCA
rnacentral:tRNA from 3 species